rnacentral:rRNA from 1 species
UACGGAGGGUGCGAGCGUUGUUCGGAAUCAUUGGGCGUAAAGAGCGCGCAGGCGGUCGUUCAAGUCGAGUGUGAAAGCCCCCGGCUCAACUGGGGAGGGUCACUCGAUACUGAUCGACUCGAAGGCAGGAGAGGGAAGCGGAAUUCCCGGUGUAGUGGUGAAAUGCGUAGAUAUCGGGAGGAACACCAGUGGCGAAGGCGGCUUCCUGGCCUGUUCUUGACGCUGAGGCGCGAAAGCUAGGGGAGCAAACGGG